GCCAGCUUAGCUCAGAUGGUAGAGCAACUCAUUCGUAAUGAGUAGGUCGUUGGUUCGAUUCCGAUAGCUGGCA
rnacentral:tRNA from 1 species